rnacentral:rRNA from 1 species
UACGAGUGCCCCAAGCGUUAUCCGGAAUCAUUGGGCGUAAAGGGUGUGUAGGUGGCGUUGUUAGUCUUCUGUCAAAUUCUUCGGCUUAACCGGGGGCAGGCAGAGGAAACGGCAAUGCUUGAGGAUGCGAGGGGUGAAUGGAACUCAUGGAGUAGGGGUGAAAUCCGUUGAUAUCAUGGGGGAACACCAAAAGCGAAGGCAAUUCACUGGCGCAUUCCUGACACUGAAACACGAAAGCGUGGGUAGCGAACGGG